ensembl:lncRNA
AUGCUCCAGUCACUGCUGAGAGCAUCUUCUUUGGAGAUGGAAGAUGUGGCUAUAAGCGGGGCAACAAGGAGAGGAGGGUGGAGGUUUUUCACACGCACUGCAGAGUUUCCAGAGAUAAAGCCCCACAACCAGAGAUGGCAAAGCACCUCCUUCCUCUGCCUCCAGGGAGAAUUCAGCCGAGCAGGAAACCACAGAGUCUCUGGCUUCCGAGCGCUGGAGCAGUCUGUGAGUGUCAGGGACCCAGGAACCUCAGCCCCAGUCUGUCAUUCCCUUCGGCUUCUGGCUCAGUCCUACUGCAUCAUAUAAGGCCCCUGGGUGAACUUGGGGCUGGGAGGGGGUGCGGUACCCCUGGAGCAGCUGGGCCCACAGACUCACCAGGCUGAGAGAGUGUGGCCUCAGGAUCAAGAGCAGGGGCUUUUGAGGUCAUACAGGACUGGGAGCAAAUCUCAGCCCUGCAGCUUCUUGCUGUGGGACUGCAGAUAAAUGGGUUUCUCUGGGCCUGCAAAGCUCUCAAUAAACAGGAGCAGCCAGCAGCAGGACUGGAGUCCACAGGGCAUCUGUCCCUGAUCUCAGGUGUCCACAACCAUCCUCUCAGAAGACAGGCAAGCAAGGCAGCUCUUCUGCCCCUCAGCACUGGCCAGGCUAGGAUGCAGUGGAACAUCAGGACUUUAAGUCAUCCUUUAGGCCAAAGAAUCCCCACAUAACAAAUUCAUUGUGUGCAAUAAAGAACUUGGCUGUACCCCUAUCAGGGCGUUUGAGAUCCAAAUUGCUGCCUUGGCACUUCGGAGACACAGAAAGGAGAAAUGAGCUCAGGGUCUCUGGGAAAAGCCCUUUAAACCUGCUUGAGAAAUCAGAUGUCUGGCUGCGGCUCAUCUGCCCUCCAGGUCUGGAAUAAGCGGAAGGGACUCUGGAGGGCUGUCUGACAGGCAUGGAAAGCAGUGGGCAAGGGAGGGCAAGGUUUAGGGAAAGAGGGUGGCAGGAUGGUUCAUGCCUGUAAUCCAAGAACUUAGGGAGGCUGAGAUGGGAGGAUCACUUGAGGAGGAUCACUUGAGGCCAGGAGUUCAAGACCAGCCUGGGCAACAUAACAAGACCCUGUCUCUACUAAAUACAUUAAAAAUUAACAGGGUAUGGUGGCACGUGCCUGUGGUCCCAGCUACUUAGGAGGCUGAGGUGGGAAGAUUGCUUGUGCCCAGGAGGUCAAGGCUGAAGUGAGCUGUAACUGAGCCACUGCACUCCAGCCUGGGCAACAGAGCAAGACUCUGCCUCAAAACAAGACAAAAUAAAAAAACAGAGAAUGACAGGGACACACCAACACAAAGGGCUUCCCAGGUAUGCCUGGCCCCUGAGCCAGGGAAGCUCUGGGGCAUUUGGAGAGAAGAGCGCCCUUGAUGGUGUUAGAAUGAGCAGCCCUGGAACUCACAGACACAGGCCAAGAAGCAGCCUGGCCCUCACUCAGGCCAAGCUCUCCAGGCUUCACAAGUUUCCUCCCUUUCUCCCCAAGGCAGCCGUUCCGCUUGCACACUCAUUCAUUCAUUCAUUCAACACCCUUACCUGGAGCCUCCUCUGGGUGCCAAUGAAAAGAGAAGGGCAGAGUUGAUUAAUGAAAUUCAAUUUCUAAAUGCCAGAGCUCAGAGGACCAAUCAUGAUCACUCACGCUUCUCAGCUAUCCGUUGAGGAAUAGAGUAUCACGGGACUGCCAAAGAAGGUGACAAAAACUGCCCAAGAGAGACUGGAAAAGCCUUCACAGACGAGGGCACAUUUGAGCUGGGUCUUGAAGGCUGAGUAGGAGUUCAUCUUAGGAAUAAAGAAGAGAAGGAGGAGGAGCAGAAAAGGCAUUCCUGGCAAAGAGAGCAGCAAGGGGCAGGGAGGUAGGAAGGGCAGGGUGGGUUUGGGAGGUGGUAAAACGCGGAAGUGGAUUUCACUGGAAUAAAAAUCAGUGGAUGUGGAGGGCAGAGCAACAGAGACGUUCCAUGAAUGCCACACUGCAAGGUGAACGGACCCUGGGCCUGCCCACCCAUCUCCCUCCCCACCUGGAUUAGUGAGCUACCCCCAAACUUAGCAGCUUAAGACAACAGUAAACAUCUCCAUCCCUAUUCCAGUUUCUGUGGGUCAGGAGUCCAGGAGCAGCUGAGCUCAGGCUCUCUCCUGAGGUCGCCGUCCUCAGGGGUCUUGCUAGGGCUGGAGGACCCACCUCCAAGAUGGCACUCACAUGGUGCUGGCUGUUGGCAGGAGGCCUGGGUCCUCCCUACAUGGGCCUGCCCACAUGGUGGCACUCCCCAGAGAGGGUGAUACAAGAGAGAACCAGGCCAAAGCGAUAUCUUAGUGGAUAUUCAGACCAGCCCUAUGCAGUACGAGAGAAGACCAUGAACGAUGUAUCAGGAGUUGGGGAUUAGUAGUAGUAGUAGUAUUGUCAGGACCAUCUUGGAGGCUGGCUGCCAUGCCACCUCCCGUGGGCAGCCCUAGGCAGGUGCAUUAGUCCCUUCUCAUGCUGCUAUGAAGAAAUACCCAAGACUGAGUGAAUUAUAAAGGAAAGGGGUUUAAUUGACUCAGAGUUCAGCAGGGCUGGGGAGGUCUUAGAAAACUUACAAUCAUGGCAGAAGGAGAAGCGAACACAUCUUUCUUCACACGGUGGCAAGAAGGAGAAGAAUGGGAGCCGAGCAAAGGGGGAAGCCCCUUAUAAAACUAUCAGAUCGGCCGGACGCGGUGGCUCAAGCCUGUAAUCCCAGCACUUUGGGAGGCCGAGACGGGUGGAUCACGAGGUCAGGAGAUCGAGACCAUCCUGGCUAGCACGGUGAAACCCCGUCUCUACUAAAAAAUACAAAAAACUAGCCGGGCGAGGUGGCGGGCGCCUGUAGUCCCAGCUACUCGGGAGGCUGAGGCAGGAGAAUGGCGUAAACCUGGGAGGCGGAGCUUGCAGUGAGCUGAGAUCCGGCCACUGCACUCCAGCCUGGGCGACAGAGCGAGACUCCGUCUCAAAAAAAAAAAAACAAAAAAAAACAAAAAAAAAACUAUCAGAUCUCGUGAGAACUUACUCACAAGCGUGGGGGAAACCGCCCCCAUGAUUCAAUUACCUCCCACC